rnacentral:misc_RNA from 1 species
GAUGAAGAACGCAGCGAGAUGCGAUACGUAAUGUGAAUUGCAAAUUCAGUGAAUCAUCGAGUCUUUGAACGCACAUUGCGCCCCCUGGUAUUCCGGGGGGCAUGCCUGUCCGAGCGUCAUUGCUGCCCUCAAGCACGGCUUGUGUGUUGGGCCCCGUCCUCCGAUCCCGGGGGACGGGCCCGAAAGGCAGCGGCGGCACCGCGUCCGGUCCUCGAGCGUAUGGGGCUUUGUCACCCGCUCUGUAGGCCCGGCCGGCGCUUGCCGAUCAACCCAAAUUUUUAUCCAGGUUGACCUCGGAUCAGGUAGGGAUACCCGCUGAACUUAAGCAUAUCAAUAAGCGGAGGA